UUAAAACUUUCCUUGCAUACUUUUUUGCUUUAGCGUUAUAAUUUAUUUCCUUACCUUUGUGCUUUAAUUGCGUUAUAAUUUAUUUUUGUAGAAUCAUAUGAAGUAAUGCGAAUUUUGGCCAUUAGAUCUUAACAAACUAGCGGCUCAUAUCAGUCGGAGGAAUGUUAGCAUUUCUCUUAUAAAUAGCAGCCAGCCAAGGAAUUUACAUGAACAAAAGAAGGAACUACUAGGAAUACAAGCAAUCUCUGUGUUUGUUCUCAUCAAUGGCUCUCGCCAAGUGCAGUGCAGCACGGCCGACUAUUGUGCGCUCGAUGGUUGUUGCUUUCGUGGUGCUUGCUGUGAUGAUGUGCUCUACCAUGCCAUCGUGCCAUGCUGAGGCCGACUGCACUCAUCUAGAUACAUGCGAUGCUGCUGUAUGCAAAGCUAUAUGCGUGCGUUCGGGCAGGCGUUUCUACACUUCCUUCUGCAGGGCUGUCGAGCCUACUCCGCUGUGUUGCUGCUUCUAUAACAAAUAAAUUGAUGGUUCCCUUGCUUGAGCUAUGCAACGCCGAAUAAUUAUAUGCAUGUAAUGUACCCUAUUCACAAUAAAGAUGCUUGCUUUUUCCA